UCCGAGUUGACCCCGGCAGUCUCCUAUGAGUCCCCGCCAUCACGCGCUGGCAACAUAGAACGAGGGUUGCGCUCGUUGCGGGACUUAACCCAACAUCUCACGACACGAGCUGACGACAACCAUGCACCACCUGUGCAGGCUCCCGAAGGAGCACCGGCUUUCACCGGUUUCACCCUGCAUGUCAAGCCUUGGUAAGGUUCUUCGCGUUGCGUCGAAUUAAGCCACAUGCUCCGCUGCUUGUGCGGGCCCCCGUCAAUUCCUUUGAGUUUUAGCCUUGCGGCCGUACUCCCCAGGCGGAACACUUAUCGCGUUAGCUGCGGCACAGAGGGAUUCGACUCCCCCCACACCUAGUGUUCAUCGUUUACGGCUAGGACUAC
rnacentral:misc_RNA from 1 species